rnacentral:rRNA from 1 species
UUAAUUGAAGAGUUUGAUCAUGGCUCAGAUUGAACGCUGGCGGCAGGCCUAACACAUGCAAGUCGAGCGGCAGCGGGAAGUAGCUUGCUACUUUGCCGGCGAGCGGCGGACGGGUGAGUAAUGUCUGGGAAACUGCCUGAUGGAGGGGGAUAACUACUGGAAACGGUAGCUAAUACCGCAUGACCUCGAAAGAGCAAAGUGGGG